GAUGAACGCUGGCGGCGUGCCUAAUACAUGCGAGUCGAGCGAACAGACGAGGAGCUUGCUCCUCUGACGUUAGCGGCGGACGGGUGAGUAACACGUGGAUAACCUACCUAUAAGACUGGGAUAACUUCGGGAAACCGGAGCUAAUACCGGAUAAUAUAUUGAACCGCAUGGUUCAAUAGUGAAAGACGGUUUUGCUGUCACUUAUAGAUGGAUCCGCGCCGCAUUAGCUAGUUGGUAAGGUAACGGCUUACCAAGGCAACGAUGCGUAGCCGAACUGAGAGGGUGAUCGGCCACACGGGAACUGAGACACGGUCCAGACUCCUACGGGAGGCAGCAGUAGGGAAUCUUCCGCAAUGGGCGAAAGCCUGACGGAGCAACGCCGCGUGAGUGAUGAAGGUCUUCGGAUCGUAAAACUCUGUUAUUAGGGAAGAACAAAUGUGUAAGUAACUAUGCACGUCUUGACGGUACCUAAUCAGAAAGCCACGGCUAACUACGUG
rnacentral:rRNA from 1 species